CAGUUCGCAUUUCGAAUUUGACGGUCGUUUGCGUAGGACGGAGAGACACGCGCCGCCUAUGGUUCCGUUCCGUUCCGGUUGUGAUGGGUGAAUUCUAGAUGAUAGUGCCUUCGAGAAGUGCUGUAGUGCUGUAGUGCGAUAAAUGAGAGUGCAAUAAAGUUAAAUGGAAAUUAAGCGAUAAGCCACUGCAAAUAAUCAUAAAGUAAUGAAUGCAAAAGCAAUUUAUGCAAUUGCCGAGGGCCUGCAACAAGAUCGAAAGUGCUGCUGCUGCUUCUGCUUCUGCUGUUGAGUUUCGUCUCGUUUCGGUUCUUUCCGCCGCACAUCGAGGAGGAUACCGAAAUAGCUGCAGAAGAAAUUUGUGCCUGUCGCCGAGCGGGAAAGUGUAAAUGUGUCUGAAGCCAAAAUAAAAUUAAAUAGCGCAAAAAUGUUCGAGUAGAGAAGUUGCAGCAAAAUAAAAGUGAGAAAUUCGCAAGAGCAAAUGUGCAAGAAAUGUGCAAAUCGAAAUAAAAAAUUCAAGCGGAAGUCGUAAAUGAGCUGCAAGCAAAUAAUACAGCAACAAAAACUACAAUCUGUGUGGUGCAUACGAGUAUUAAUCAGAUUAUGAAUGAAAAUAUCAAGCAAUGUGAAGCUUGAGGCUGAAUAGGCUUUCUGUGGCAGAAGGAAAAAAUCUAAUAAUUGAAAAUAGUUCCAAGUUCCAAGUUCAAAGUCGAAAGUGGGAAAUGUGUUGCUAGUUAGUGCCUUCAAAAUAUUUAACAUGCAAAUCAGACAGCUACUCAUCCGGGGGUACCUGGCCCUGGUCCUGCUCCUGGUCCUGUUUGCCAUCGACUGCCAGGCCAAGCGUAAGGGCAAGCGAUUACACGGCCUGUCCCCAGCCCACAUGCUCAAGGAAUACGACCUGCCAGCUCUCAACGAUAGCUCCCAGGAGCUGUCGCAGAGCAUUGUCUCCUGGACAGGAGCGCGCAUCCAGCAGAAGAGCCACAAGAAGCAAUCGACGCAGUCGACGCAAUCAAUGCGGCGGCGGAAAACCAAGAGUGGCCUCCUCAUAGAAAGUAACAUUUCGGAGGAGGAGGCAACUUCAACGGUGACUUCAUCAUCCCCAUACUCGUCGGAGUCCCUCGCCAAGAAAAAAUCAUCGCAGCGUCGCCGCAACGGGCGAUUGCAGAGGCCAGGGGGAGCCGGCAGGCCGAAUGCCAAUGUCCUCCGUUUGCUCAACAGCCAGCAGGCCGAUGACGUAUCCGCUGGCGUCGGAUCAUUGUCCAGUUCGGGAGGCCUCUAUCCGCCUCUCUUCAAUGUGGCACCACGGGCCUCGAUCACAGUGAAUGCCACGUGUGGGCAGAACGGGGCCGAGGAGUACUGCAAGCUGGUCGACGCCUAUCCCCACCGGAACUGGGCCAAGCAGUGCGGCACCUGCAAUGGCCACUCCUCGGAUCGCGCCAAGCAGCGCCCCAUCGAGUCGCUAAUCUCGCCCGGCUCCGGCUUCGAGGAGAUCUGGUGGCAGUCCCCGACGCUUCAGGGUGGCCGACACUUCGAGUAUGUGACCAUCACAUUGGAUCUCAAGCAGACCUAUCAAGUCUUCUUUGUGAUGCUCAAGUCGGCGAAUUCGCCCCGACCAGCCUCGUGGAUACUCGAAAAGUCCCUGGAUGGAAUCGACUAUGAGCCCUGGCAGUACUUUGGCCUGAGUGAUGCGGACUGCAGGCGUCGCUGGAGUCUAUCCGGACAGAACGGCAAAUACGUUUUCCAGAACGACACCGAGGUCAUAUGUUCUACGCAGUUCUCGAAGCCUCUGCCCCUGGAGAACGGAGAGCUGCAUGUGUCCCUCCUGAAGAAUCGUCCGGGGGCCAUGGACCAGAGCCCAGAGCUCAUGCAGUUCAUUACCGCUCGCUACAUGAGGAUUCGUCUGCAGGGAAUGCACUCCACCGCGAAUCUGGACAACAGCGUGGACUGGCUGCUCGACUCGCCGUCGCUGGAAAAGCGCAGCUUCUACUCCCUCAAGCAGCUACGGGUGAGUGCUCGACUGGACUGCCACGGACACUCGGAUCGAACGCAGGAGGCGCCGGGUAGCCCGGUGGUGCAGUGCGUCUGCCAACACAAUGCCUGUGGAGUCCAGUGCGAGGAAUGCUGCCCCCUUUUCCAGGAUCGACCCUACCGACUGAGCGAAGAGUGCGAGAUCUGCCAGUGCCACGGCCACGCGGAAAGCUGCUCAUACGACCCCUUCCUGGACAAGGGCAUCUGCCAGGGCUGCGCGAACCACACGGCCGGUAAUGAGUGUGAGUUCUGCGAGAGCGGAUACUACAGGGAACUGGGCUCUGGCCUCACGGAACCAUGUGUGGCGUGCAGCUGCGAUCCCAUCCGUUCCACCGGCAGCUGUCAUCCCGAGGGCGGCCGCUGCAAUUGCCUGGAGGGCUUCCAGGGCAACCAGUGCCAGGAGUGCGCUCCCGGCUACUACGGAGAGGAGUGCAAGCCGUGCGAGUGUGAUGAGAGGGGAACCCUCUCCUCCGACGGCUCCUGCUCCGGCAAAUGUCAGUGCAAGCUCAAUGUGGAGGGGGAGACCUGCUCCGAGUGCGCUCCCGGGUACUUUGAUUUGAGCGAUCGGAACCCACUCGGCUGCUCCAGCUGCUGGUGCUCCGGUGUCUCCGAUACCUGUCACAGUGCCAAGCUGCAGACACUGGCCUUCGAGACCCUCAACGAUUGGAAGCUCACGGACAUACAGAGGAAGCAGUGGUUUCCAAUAUCGGUCGAUGCGGAGAAGGGCCUAACCUUUGGCAAUGAACCGGACGAACUGGAGGCCAUCUACUGGCAGGCACCCUUGGGAUACUUGGGCAAUCGAUUGACCAGCUACGGGGCCAGACUCCAGCUACUGCUCUCGUGGGUUGUGAUGCGGGGCGACACCUCGGGAAAGUCCUCGACGGGUCCCAAUGUGAUCUUGUGCGGCAAAAACGGACUGAAGAUUGGCUAUGCCGAUGACUCCUUCGUGGGCCUGGAGGCCAGCCUGAAUGUGACCCUAACGGAGGAGGGCUGGUACCAUGUGCCGCCCGCCAUCAAAGACAUCAAGACCAGAUUAAGGCGAACCGAGGGAGGGGAAUAUCAUGGGGAGGCGGUGACCCGGUCCCAGUUCCUCUCGGUUCUCGUUUCCCUUGACGCCAUGCUCAUCCGCGCCGCCUUCCACACCGACCAGGUGGAGACCUCGCUUGUGCGGGCUGUCAUCUACUCCGGCGGCGUGGAGCUCGGUGCCCAGGCUUCUACGCAGGUAGAGCAGUGCCUGUGUCCUGCCGGCUACACGGGACUCUCCUGCGAGGGCUGUGCCUUCGGCUAUAAACGUAUCUACGAGAACUCCACGGAGCACCAGCUGAUGAGCAAGUGCAUCCCCUGUCCCUGCAACGGCCACUCGAACUCCUGCGACCUGCAGAGCGGAAACUGCGGCGAUUGCAUGCACAACACAUUUGGCGAACGCUGUGAGCGUUGCCAGCUUGGAUUUUACGGGAACCCCCUCCAGGGAACGCCUCACGACUGCAAACGUUGUGCUUGUCCGUUGCCCGAGGACUCGAACAACUUCUCGCCCAGCUGCCAGCUGAAGAGCUACAACUACAUGGAUCUGAAUCCGCAGUUCGAGCUGAUCGAGCACGCCGAAUACAUUUGCACGCAGUGCCCAGAAGGGUUCACCGGCGACCACUGCCAGGUGUGCGACGACGGGUACUUUGGGGAUCCCCUUCAGAUAGGCAGCAGCUGCCAGCGCUGCGACUGCGCCGGCGGACCGUGCAACGUGACCACCGGCGCCUGCAUUACCUGCAAGGGCAACACUGAGGGCUGGCACUGUGAGCGCUGCAAGUUGGGCUACUGGGGAGAUCCUGCCGUCGGAUGCGAGCCCUGCCUCUGCCAUGCCGAAGGAUCGGAGAGUGGUCUGUGCGAUAGCACGGAUGGCCAGUGCCUGUGCAAGCCCCGAUUCGCCGGACAGAAGUGCGACGAUUGCGAUACGGGCUUUGCCCAUGUGGACCUCCGCUGUCCGCCCUGCAGCUGCGAUCCCCUGGGCACUGCUGUCCCUGACACGUGCGACCCACGGACGGGUCAAUGCCAGUGCAAGGUGGGCGUCAUUGGGGUCAAGUGCCACGAGUGCCAGGAUGGAUUCUUUGGCAUGAACGUAGAUGCCCAGCAGCUGGAGGAUCUGGCUGCCCUGCGACUGGCGCAGGACGAUGCCGACUGGGAGCUGGUCGCAGAGACCGACGAUCCAGCAGACGACUCCACGGUGGCCUGCGAGGAAUGCCACUGCAGCAGCGUGGGCUCCUUGUCAACGGCCUGUGAUAAGCGAUCGGGACAGUGCGCCUGUCUGGCCAACGUGACGGGCAGACGCUGCGACAAGUGCCGGGCGGGCCACUGGAACCUCACGCAAGGCGUGGGCUGUCACGACUGCCUCUGCGACCCUCACGGAUCUCGGGGUGACGAGUGCAAUCCGUGGACGGGUCAGUGCGACUGCAAGAUCGGAGUGGGUGGCCAGCACUGCAAUGAAUGCACCGAGGGCUUCUUCGGAUUCAGCACCGAGGGCUGCCAGCGCUGCUCGGCUUGCACGGCGGAGGGUCAGGUAUGCGACUCUCACAACGGACGCUGCAUUUGCCCCAAGUUCACCCGCGGAUUGGGUUGUGGGCAGUGCGUGCCCGGCACCUGGGGCUGGCAGGCGCGUCUGGGCUGUCGGGAGUGCGAGUGCGAUCACAUUGGCUCCAUUGGCCAGCAGUGCGCUCCGGGAGACGGACAGUGCCAGUGCCGAGAGGGCUAUGCGGGCAGGAGCUGUGAAUCCUGUGCCGCGGGCUACUUUGGCUAUCCGGAGUGCAGGCGCUGCGGCUGCAAUGCGGACGGCUCUUUCACCCGCUCGGAUGGCUUGAUUGCCUGCGACUCGAAUGGCCAGUGUCCGUGCAAGAGUCUCGUGGUGGGUCUCAAGUGCGACACCUGCAUGCAAAGCACUUUCGGGUUGUCCGCCCUCAAUCCGGAGGGGUGCACCCGGUGCUUCUGCUUCGGUCGUUCCGGUGAGUGCCAGCAGAGCGACCUAUCCUGGGGCCACAUACGCAUGCCCGAGUCCCGGAACCUCAGUGUCCAGCAGAUACGUCCCCAGCACGUGCCGAGCGGAGAGUACGAGUACAUUGUGGUCGUCCAGAUGGAGGGUACCGUUUUCCAUCGCGAAGAUGCGGAGAUACAGCGCAUGAACGACCUUAGCCUGGUGCCGCGAUCGACGGGCAAUGUCUCCAUUGGUGCCUAUGGACAGUUCUAUCAUCCGCUGUACUUCCAGCUGCCGCCUCAGUUCUAUGGGGAUCGCACUAGCAGCUACGGUGGCUAUCUGUACUUCUCCCUCAUCACCGAGGGAGCCCACACUCCGCUGGAGAGACAGAUCCUAGCUCAGUACCCGCUGGUGCAGCUGCACGCCCAUUCCAAGCUCCUGUUGGACUUCUACGAGUACGAGGAGUUCGAGUACUCCCUGAAUGUGACGCAUCGCGUGCCGCUCCACGAAUCCCUUUGGAAGUAUCACCACAAUAAUCAGGCCGUGGAUCGGGGAACUCUCAUGGCUGCACUUCAAAACAUUCGCCACAUUUUCAUCCGAGCGUUUGCCUUUGCAGAUUUUCAGGAAGUUGUCCUUCAGAAUGUCCACAUGGAUGCGGCCAUCUUUGUGGAGGGCUCUACCAACUUGAUUGCCAAGGGUGUGGAGCGCUGUAAGUGUCCCAAGCGCUUUGAUGGUCUCUCCUGCCAGGACCCUGGACGAUCAUUCUAUCGCUGGCGCAACACCAGCGAUGUGGAUAGUGUCUUCAUUGAGGACCUGAUUGGACGGGCAGCUCCCUGCCAUUGCAAUGGACGCAGCAGCGAUUGUGACAAGGAGUCGGGUGUCUGUCAGAACUGUCGCGCGAACAGUGGAGGAGAUCAUUGCCAGCAAUGCGCCGAGGGCUUCUACGGCGACCCGAACUCCCCGCACGGCUGCCAGGCCUGUCCGUGCCCCGAAACCAAUCGCAACUUUGCUCGCGGUUGCAAUGUCUGGGAUGGCGAAGUGAGUUGUGUGUGCAAGCCCGGUUACACGGGGAGGCUGUGCGAGCGCUGCCAUCCCGGCUACUUCGGCAAUCCCACGCUGUAUCCCAACAGCAGCUGCCAGGCCUGCAACUGCAAUCCGGACGGAAUCCGAGCCGAGGGCUGCGACUCGGAGACUGGUCAGUGCUAUUGUCGGGAGGGUGUCACAGGCCUCAAGUGCAGCAAGUGUCUGGCGGAACGACAUCAUGUGGUGGACAAUGGAUGCAGAGUUUGCGACAAUUGUACUCUAUUACUCCUGGACUAUGUGGAGUUGGUGGGCCAUAAGCUGCGUCGCGGGCUCCACAACAUGGACCUGACCGGAAUACCUGCGCCGUACCUCAAGUUGUCCGAUUACGAACGAGCCUACGACACCUGGCGAGGGCGGCAGCAGGACUUCAGCCAGGCCAGGAAACUGCUGCAGGACUAUGAUACCGCUGGCGUCGUCAAGCUGGAUGCCCAUGCUGAAAAUAUGAAAUUCCAGUCGCGCAAGGCGCUGUCCACGAUCGGAAAGAGGGAGUUCGCUCUCAAGGCCAUGCAGGAUGACGCUUCGGUGCAGCAACAGGAUGUGGGCCUGGUACGGGCAGAGAUACUUCAGACACUGCUCGAUUUGAGGAGCUACGGGAAGAGUGCCCAGCACCUCAGUCUGCCGACAGCCCUAAAGCAGGCCCGAUUCUAUCUGCAGGCUAUCCAGGAGCACCAUCAGGGAAUUCAGGGCAUCCGCAGCACGAACGAUUGUGCCUGGCGUCAUUUCUACGUCUCGGGCAACGCCUCGGAUGCCGCUUUCGACGAGCGGGGUCGGCUGGAGAUGCUCUGGCGAGAUCUGAACCAGACCAACCAUCGUGUGGUGGACUUGCGACUACAGCUAGAUCGCACCCUGGAGGUGGAGAGCGAGGCGGAGGACAUAGUGGAGCAUGUGCGCAACCUGAAUGGCCAUACGGCCGAGGCGCAUCACGAGCUGAAUGACCUGGGCCAGCUGAUUGGAAAGUAUCUCAACCAGAGCUAUCUCGACCAGGGAGAAGAGCUGGCAAAACUCACUCUCGAGCGGCAGUCUCUGCUGAGCGAACAUCUGAACCAGCUGGACGGUGCGACUGUUCUCCUGAAUGCCACCCUCGGCGUCAAGUCCGAGCAGCAGCGGGAGGUGCGCAAGCACUGGCUGCCAAAGGCGGAGAAACAUGCAGAUCGUUUGCUGGAGAGGUCGAAUGAGUAUGCUCGGCAGUUCCAGCCCACGAGGAAUGGUGCACGCAUUGCCAUGCUGGCCAGCUCGGCGCAUAGCAACAUAACCAAGGCGAUCAAUGAUGCUCGUCAAGGCUCUAUCCUUGCCAAGGAACGGGUAUACGAUGCCCAGAGAACGCUGUAUCCCAGCGAUGGCAGCUCCAUGAUCGAGCGAGCCAAGCACUCGUUGCACCGCUCCAGGCAGCUGCAGCAGGAGGCACUUAAGCAGAUGCACAAGUCCAACGUGCUCAAAGAGAAGCUGCAUCAGCAGCAGGAGCAGGUGGAGGGCAUCAAGGCCACCAUCUUCGAGUCAGGGCUGCGCACCAACAACAUUUCUAGCCAGUUGCAGACCCUCACCGACAGUUCGGCCCGUCGUCAUGCCAAGGAGAGCCUGGAUCUGGCCAGGAGAACCGGCGAGCAGAUGCGGGCCGAACUUCGAAAGGCUAAGGAGACGGAGGAAUCUCUUCAGAAUAUGCGCAAAUCCUUCACCAAGCUCGAGCCCGACUGGGACAUCAAGCUCGGCAUGGCUCAGGAGAACAUAUCGCUGACCAAGACCAAUCUCCGACUGGCCAACGUGUCGCUCAGCUAUCUAGAGCAGCAGGCGGCAAAGGAGCAGCAAGUGUUCGAGUCCUGGAACAAUAGCAUGGCCAAGCAGUUGCAGCAGCUCAGGGACCAGAUAGCCAAGGCGAGACAUGCAGCCCAAGCGAUCGAUGUCUCCCUGGAGUCACUGGGUCCUAAGUGCAUCCGCUCUUAUCUGCCCUCAUCGUAUGGCCUGAGUACCUCGAACAAUUUGCGCCUUAGCUUCGCGUUGGCGAACCACAUCGAGAGCUCGCCCCUGAUCCAAGUGGAGGGUAGUGAGGGACGCCACAUCACCCUGGAGUUGUACAAGCGACGGGUGCGCCUUGUUUGGAAUCUGGGGGGGACCACGGCGACUGUCACCCAUCCCAUGGUGGUGCAGACGCGGGAUCCCAAGUACGACGAUGCCUGGUACCAUGUGGAGGCCAAUCGGACGCUCAAUCUGGGCAGCUUGUUGGUGCGACGGAUGAAUAACUAUGGGGUGCUGACACCCAGCAGUCCGGUCACCAUCACUGGCUCUACAGACACGGAGCACACGCGCUUCUAUCAGUCGCGAAACGAUCGCAUAUCCCUUGGUGCCCUCGCCUCGAAGGAUCUGCAGCUGACGCCUGGCCUCAAUGUGGUCGUGCACCAUGUAGAGGUGGACAACAAGCCGCUGGGACUGUGGAACUUUGUGGACAGCGAGGGGCGGUGCGGUGGUUCCAUGAUCGGUGCCCGCGAAUCCUCCGCCUCAUCGACGGCACGUCACUUUAACGGUCUGGGCUAUGCGCAGCUAAUGAAGACCCGUCCCCGGCCAUAUCGCAAGAAUCUGUUCUCUGUGCAGAUGACCUUCCGUACUCUGGACGAGAAUGCGUUGCUCUUCCUGGCGGUUGAUGACAAGAAUAAUCGCUCGGUGUCGGUAACAUUGAGCCGUGGACGCAUCAUGUUCCGCAUUGACUACGGCGACGAGUCCAAGCUGGAGAUCAACACCACCAAGAAGUACAAUGUGGGUCAGUGGAUUAAAAUUGAGGCCGCCCGCGAGUUCUCGGCCAAACGAAGCACAGAGAACGGCAUGCUCCGCGUGAACAACGAUCGUCCCAUCUCCGGAGCACCUACACUGCCCGUGAACGCACAUUUGCUACCAGAUUUGUCGAAGGCUGUCUAUUAUUUGGGUGGAGUGCCGCCAGGCUUCACAUCAGGCACGACGAAAGCUCCAGGCGCUGAUAAUCCCUUCCUUGGCUGUAUGACGGAUGUUCAGGUGAACGGAGAGACGUACGAUCCACUAGAGAGCUCCAGCUACUUCGGCGUAGAGCCUUCCUGCAAGGACAUGAUCACAAAGGCUGGGUUCUCGGGGAACGGGUAUCUAGAGCUACCUUCGCAGUCGCUGAGGAAGCGCUCGAAUACUGCCCUGGUCUUCCGCACCCUACAACCGGACUGUCUCUUGCUCCUCUCCGCCUAUCCGCCCGAGGUUCUGGCCGACUACGAUGACAAGGACAUCAAGGGCAACUACUCAAUGAGCCUGGUGGAUGGGCAGUUGCACGUCUGGGUCAACUCUGGCCGCAGCUUUGUCAAGCUGUCUUCCAAUAUCAGUCAGCUGAAUGAUGGUGAACUGCACGUGAUCAACAUGAUAAAGACUGGUCGCCGGCUGGAGCUAAUGGUGGACGAUGAGCUGCAGGAUGUGCGCAGCCUGAGCGGCAACCCAACGGUCAUUAGUCUGCCCCGGGAGGCGGGAGGUCUCUACAUUGGCGGAGCUCCCCCGCACGAGAGCUUUACGCCGCUGGCGCCCACCUUCGUCAACCUAGAAGGAGCCAUUCGGGAUGUUGUGUUCAACAACCGGACCGUGAACUUCAACGAUGCUCUGACCUUUUCCAAUGUCCAGAUCGGACGCAAUGGUCCCCUGAUGGGCAGUCUCAAGGGUGGACUCUACGACGUGUUUCUCAAGACGGAACCGAUGAUCGGGAAGAGUUUCACGGCCACGCCGGAGGGCUGCAAGCGGGAUUUUAGUUGCUAAGCAAUUAUGUCAAAGCUGCUACGCUAAAAGCUUCAAGCGCUGCGCCUUAAGAAAGCUCAUUUGUAUACUAAUUUCGCCUAAACAUUAAACACAAACACACAAAACAAAACAAAAAGCUAACCAAACAAAGCUGCUCUAUGUGGUCUACAUGUGGAUUAAUAUAACCUUUAUAUAAACAUCAUCAAAGAUACAUAUAACAUGAGCUCAGUCAUAGCUGGAAAGUUGUCCUACGUAAUCAUGAUCAUGAAAGUAAAAGCGCAACGAAAAGAUAGACGGGCCAUCAUGUUUGUUCAUGUGUGUUCAUGUUUAUGGAGGACAACUUGGCUAGCGUUAAGUCCGGAAGAGGAUUGGUUCAAGCUCCUGGGCGCAUCGGGUCCUCGGCUAACACAAAAAAGCGCUAUAAUCAUAGUUAAUAAUCAUCUUUUUUACGACAUAUAUUUUUUGUAAAUAUUUCAUAUGACUUUUUUGCUACACGAUAAGUACGGCUCCGAGCUCAGUCUAGUCCUUAAGAUUCACACCACUCAUAUCAACGCUUUGUGUACGUUUUUGCUUUCAUAAAUGUAUCAUACGAUUAACACUUGCUUACCUACUUCGCGACCACAACACGGACAUUUGAUUGUUAUCACAUCAUUUUUAAAUCACGUUUCAAAUAAAACAUUUUUAUAACAAAAAAAAACCGAACAAAAAUCAUGGCAAAGUUUUUAUUCUUAACCCAAUCCAAUCCAAUCUCUCGGAGUGUUCUCUCUGGGAGAUCGCUACGCUUAGAGCUCAGAAACUAACACAAAGUCGUCGGGAUCGGCAGCUACUCCUACGAGCCGAAUGCGUUCAAGUUCGGAGACGAGAUUUACAGCUAUUCGCAGCUGAAGCUGCCAGAGCGCCGCUUC
rnacentral:misc_RNA from 1 species